AAAUUCUCCUCUCUGUAAUUAGCGUUUCACAUGUCGAACAUUAUCGCCACACGCUUUCGAUUAUCAUCGCACUCUACGAAUGGUCUCAACACGGAAUCUCUCGCCGCUGUUGUUAAGGAGCUUCGCAGGGAUUCAACACCGCCACACAGUUGCACCACCUCCUUGACCAGAUCCUUAUAAAAAUGAGACAGGGGUAUUUUUCUGGGUGCAAACCAGAAAAUUUCCUCUCACUCGCAUAUUUCACUACCGACAAGAUCCGUCGGAAUCUGUUCAGACGGUCCCCAACAUCCCUUCCACGAGUUCGGUUUCACAUACUUGAAGACGACCCGACGACCCCUGACCUUCCAGAGCUCUCCAAGGUAUUUUUAUCUUUUUUUGCGGUGGGUUCGACAAUUUCUUCCCUCCACCGCACACGCCGCUGUCGGGGCUGUUAUGCCGAGAUGGCAGCACAUUUUCUAGAUAGGUCGUGGCAUCUCAACAACUAUGAGGAAAAACUGCCUCGGCUACAAUCGAUCGAUCGCCGAAACCAGCGGUGGUGUAAGCAGCGUUCCGAUUUUACAUAUUCCAUUUCUUUUUCCUACAACAUCUGUCAUAUAUGUAGUGUAAUGAUUAUGAGAUUGAGGUUUAAUUAGCAGUGAGAUAUACUAAUGAGUUCUAUGCUCUAUGCUAUCAACAGUACAAACAUUUCAGGGAGGUUGAGAUCUCAUCUAUAGAUUCGCAACCUAACGCUUGUGUAUAAGAUGGAUGUGUUUGACGAAUGUAUUCUUCAGGACGUCAAUGCUCUUACAGUAAAUAGUGGUUUUCGAAUUCUCACGGGACAGUAAAUAGUGGUUUACGUUGGUGAUACUCAAUAUAUCUUACGUUUUAGUAAUUCAUGUGUUCUGGUGUUAAAAACACUGUAUGACUUGAUAAUAUACAUGUUACUGUUGUAUUUAAUGGUGUAAGUUUACUCAAUCCUUACGUAUUAGUGGUUUUUGUUUUUGUUUCUAUGUGACAGAAUAUGGACAUAAAAGAAGGAGAUUGAACAAAACGGCACAUACAACUUUAAUUUUGGAGUGGUUAUGUAUGAGCUAUUGAUGGAUCGAAAAAAUGAGGAAAAAGAAUCGGAUGGGGCUCUAUUUGAUGUUGUACCCGUCUCCAUGUAUAUUUUAGAUCGAAAAAAGAGUGAAUUUAUAAUUCUCACGAGUCAGUAAAUAGUGGAUUAUACUUACAGUAAAUAGUGGUUUUCAAAUGUAAAUAGUGGAUUACACUUACAGUAAAUAGUGGAUUUCAAAUUCACAGAGUGAGUAGUGGAUUUUAAAAUCAGACAGUGAAUAAUGAAUUACGUUAAUAUUACAGUGGU